rnacentral:rRNA from 1 species
UACGGGGGGGGUAAGCGUUGUUCGGAAUUACUGGGCGUAAAGGGCUCGUAGGCGGCCAACUAAGUCGGACGUGAAAUCCCUCAGCUUAACUGGGGAACUGCGUCCGAUACUGGAUGGCUUGGAUUUGGGAGAGGGAUGCGGAAUUCCAGGUGUAGCGGUAAAAUGCGUAGAUAUCUGGAGGAACACCGGUGGCGAAGGCGGCAUCCUGGACCAAUAUUGACGCUGAGGAGCGAAAGCCAGGGGAGCAAACGGG